rnacentral:rRNA from 1 species
AUUGAACGCUGGCGGCAGGCCUAACACAUGCAAGUCGAACGGUAACAGGAAGCAGCUUGCUGCUUCGCUGACGAGUGGCGGACGGGUGAGUAAUGUCUGGGAAGCUGCCUGAUGGAGGGGGAUAACUACUGGAAACGGUAGCUAAUACCGCAUAAUGUCGCAAGACCAAAGAGGGGGACCUUCGGGCCUCUUGCCAUCGGAUGUGCCCAGAUGGGAUUAGCUUGUUGGUGGGGUAACGGCUCACCAAGGCGACGAUCCCUAGCUGGUCUGAGAGGAUGACCAGCCACACUGGAACUGAGACACGGUCCAGGCUCCUAAGGGAGGGAGCAGUGGGGAAUUUUUGCCAAUUGGCGGAAGCCUGAUGGAGCCCUGCCGCGUGUAUGAAGAAGGCCUUCGGGUUGUAAAGUACUUUCAGGGGGGAGGAAGGGAGUAAAGUUAAUACCUUUGCUCAUUGACGUUACCCGCAGAAGAAGCACCGGCUAACUCCGUG